rnacentral:rRNA from 1 species
GAUGAACGCUAGCUACAGGCUUAACACAUGCAAGUCGCGGGGCAGCAUGGCGAUAGCUUGCUAUUGUCGAUGGCGACCGGCGCACGGGUGAGUAACGCGUAUCCAACCUGUCCCUUACCACGGGAUAGCCCGGCGAAAGUCGGAUUAAUACCGUAUGAUUUCCGAAGAAGACAUCUGAUUUGGAACAAAGGCAUUGGCGGUGAGGGUUGGGGAUGCGUCCGAUUAGCUGGUUGGCGGGGUAACGGCCCACCAAGGCGACGAUCGGUAGGGGUUCUGAGAGGAAGGUCCCCCACACUGGAACUGAGACACGGUCCAGACUCCUACGGGAGGCAGCAGUGAGGAAUAUUGGUCAAUGGGCGAAGGCCUGAACCAGCCAAGUAGCGUGCAGGAAGACGGCCCUAUGGGUUGUAAACUGCUUUUAUGCGGGGAUAACGUGUGCCACGUGUGGCAUAUUGCAGGUACCGCAUGAAUAAGGACCGGCUAAUUCCGUGCCAGCAGCCGCGGUAAUACGGAAGGUCCGGGCGUUAUCCGGAUUUAUUGGGUUUAAAGGGAGCGCAGGCCGGCGAUUAAGCGUGCUGUGAAAUGUAGGCGCCCAACGUCUGAAUUGCAGCGCGAACUGGUUGUCUUGAGUACGCUGGAAGUGGGCGGAAUUUGUGGUGUAGCGGUGAAAUGCUUAGAUAUCACGAAGAACCCCGAUUGCGAAGGCAGCAUACCAGUGCGCCACUGACGCUAAAGCUCGAAAGCGCGGGUAUCGAACAGGAUUAGAUACCCUGGUAGUCCGCGCGGUAAACGAUGGAUGCCCGCUGUGCGGCCUUUUAUGGUUGCGCGGCCAAGCGAAAGCGUUAAGC